GGAGGGGUGGCAGAGCGGUUCAAUGCACCGGUCUUGAAAACCGGCGUCCGCAAGGGCACGUGGGUUCGAAUCCCACCCCCUCCG
rnacentral:tRNA from 1 species